UAACGCGUGGGAAGCUACCUUGUGGUAGGGAACAACAGUUGGAAACGACUGCUAAUACCCUAUGAGCCCUAUGGGGGAAAGAUUUAUCGCCAUGAGAUGUGCCCGCGUUAGAUUAGCUAGUUGGUAAGGUAAUGGCUUACCAAGGCGACGAUCUAUAGCUGGUCUGAGAGGAUGAUCAGCCACACUGGGACUGAGACACGGCCCAGACUCCUACGGGAGGCAGCAGUGGGGAAUAUUGGACAAUGGGGGCAACCCUGAUCCAGCCAUGCCGCGUGUGUGAUGACGGCCUUAGGGUUGUAAAGCACUUUCAGCAGUGAAGAUAAUGACAUUAACUGCAGAAGAAGCCCCGGCUAACUUCGUGCCAGCAGCCGCGGUAAUACGAAGGGGGCUAGCGUUGUUCGGAAUCACUGGGCGUAAAGCGUACGUAGGCGGACUGAUCAGUCAGGGGUGAAAUCCCGGGGCUCAACCCCGGAACUGCCUUUGAUACUGUCAGUCUUGAGAUCGAGAGAGGUGAGUGGAACUCCGAGUGUAGAGGUGAAAUUCGUAGAUAUUCGGAAGAACACCAGUGGCGAAGGCGGCUCACUGGCUCGAUACUGACGCUGAGGUACGAAAGCGUGGGGGAGCAAACAGGAUUAGAUACCCUGGGUAGUCCACGCCGU
rnacentral:rRNA from 1 species